GUGAGAAUGUUGGCAUGAGUAGCGAGAUGUGGGUGAGAAUCCCACAGGCCGUAAACCCAAGGUUUCCAGGGGAAGGUUCGUCCGCCCUGGGUUAGUCGGGACCUAAGCUGAGGCCGAAAGGCGUAGGUGAUGGACAACAGGUUGAUAUUCCUGUACUACCGAAAACCGUUUGAGAGAUGGGAUGACACAGUAGGAUAAGCUAAGCACACUG
rnacentral:rRNA from 1 species